UCUGCAAGUACGAAAGUGGUUGUAAGUAUAUUGCAGAUUUUCGUGUCCAGUUAGUAAACGAGGAUAAACAAUCUCAGGUUUCGGAAAUAUCCGAAAUUUACCAAUUUCGACAAUAAAGUCGUUGGUCGUACACGGGAGUGUUUGUGGCGGUUAAUUUUUAUCCAAGGUCGAAAUUCUUUGCCCUACAAUAGGUAAUCCCACAGCGUUGAAGGGCAGUUUGGCCAUGUUUAGCUCGCGCCAAGGUAGAACAGCUAUUCUUCGACAACAUCGUCUUCAGUUUGCUUUUGGCCAGGGAUGGCAGAGGAGAGCGCUGCGAAAUACAAAGGUACCAGACAUUGGCGCGAGCUUGACAGUCGACCGUUUUCCCAACUUUACCAGGAUCAGAGGGAUACUUUUGUAAUUUGACACAUACCUUCGGGAAGAAUGACCGUCGCUAUGCACGACGCGCCAGCUACGACCAUGCAGAGACACAGGGGCCACCGUCUACCCCAACGAUCCAUGACCACCCAGCACGCCAUGUAGCUUGGUAUUUCUGCCAACGAUGAGAAGAAGAAACUCAAAUGCUCUUCACUUCCAAGUGCUGGCCCAUAAUAUGAGAGGCCAACAUAAACCAUGUUGUUGGCAAACCUAAAAACAUGCAGAAAAAUCGUUGAUUGGUAGGUUCAUCGAUUAGAAGGGUAUCUGGCAAAGCAUUGGUCAUAGUUGAUAAAUGGUCCCGAUAUUACGACACUCCUAAAUUAUAAUUGUGUAAUUCGGGUUUGUACAGAGAUCAUGCUUUUCAAAUGCUAACCGAUCCCAUCAAUUUUACAGACGUGAAAUAGACAGGGAAAUAUAGUUGACAUGGAAUUCGGGAUAUUUUGCAAACGGGGGAUUCGAAUUGAAAAUUUUAAAACUUGGGCUACCUUUCUCAAAAUGCUUUCUUUCUAUCUACCUAUGCACAGUUUGGAGAGAAUUAUGAUAGAUAUUUUUAAAGACUAAUAAAAAAAACACACGACCUUUGGACUUCAUCUUCCAAGUUGACUACACGUACCACCAGUUGUAUCGUGAUUCGAAUAGUUGGUACGCGUUUUAUUAAUACACCUCAAAAUUACCAGUUCAGAGUUAUCAGGCACGUUUUCAGACGCAUAUUUGGCGUUUUAAAAAGUGCGAGGAUGCCGGGUCCGCUGCGGAGUCGUUCCUCUUCGCUCUUAGAUCGUGACAUGGUCAUCCGCUGGCGAAGCUUCUGGGUGAACGAAUCAGGAAGCUCUUUGCCAUUUACCCUUGCUAGUGUUUCCAAAAUUUCAUUCGCUUCCUCCAGACGACCCUUCGCCAGCAGCCAGCGUGGAGAUUCUGGAAGAAACCUUUGCCCAUAGUUGGCCUUACUAUUCAAUAACACCGAGAAGCUUACGAGUAUUAAUUUGGCCAUUUGGCAUGUUCUCACUGUUCUCUUUGAAUGUGGGGAGGGCUCAAGUAUUAUGUUUUACGCUACUGACCACCAAUACAGAAAGUACAGUAGGAACGGGGCACUGGUCGUCAGGGCGAGGAGUCGCCAGUCGCGAACCAGAUACGUAACACCUGCCAGCGUACACAAUCCGAUAGUGUAGAAUGUGCAGGUCAUGACAGUGACGAAGGAGCGGUAAUUUGGCCCUACGAGCUCCAGGG
rnacentral:lncRNA from 1 species